UACGUAGGGUGCGAGCGUUAAUCGGAAUUACUGGGCGUAAAGCGUGCGCAGGCGGUUUUGUAAGCCAGAUGUGAAAUCCCCGGGCUUACCUGGGAAUGGCAUUUGGGACUGCAAGGCUUGAGUGUGGCAGAGGAGACUGGAAUUCCUGGUGUAGCAGUGAAAUGCGUAGAUAUCAGGAGGAACACCGAUGGCGAAGGCAGGUCUCUGGGCUGACACU
rnacentral:rRNA from 1 species